rnacentral:rRNA from 2 species
UCUGGUAGCGUUACCGGAGGGGCCACACCCGUUCCCAUCUCGAACACGACAGUUAAGUCCUCCAGGGCCGAUGAUACUUUGACCGCGAGGUCAUGGGAAAGUAGGUCGCUGCCAGAU